GACGAACGCUGGCGGCGUGCUUAACACAUGCAAGUCGAACGGAAAGGCCCUGCUUUUGCGGGGUGCUCGAGUGGCGAACGGGUGAGUAACACGUGAGUAACCUGCCCUUGAAUUUGGGAUAACUUCAGGAAACUGGGGCUAAUACCGGAUAGGAGCUCCUGCUGCAUGGUGGGGGUUGGAAAGUUUCGGCGGUUGGGGAUGGACUCGCGGCUUAUCAGCUUGUUGGUGGGGUAGUGGCUUACCAAGGCUUUGACGGGUAGCCGGCCUGAGAGGGUGACCGGCCACAUUGGGACUGAGAUACGGCCCAGACUCCUACGGGAGGCAGCAGUGGGGAAUAUUGCACAAUGGGCGGAAGCCUGAUGCAGCAACGCCGCGUGCGGGAUGACGGCCUUCGGGUUGUAAACCGCUUUCGCCUGUGACGAAGCGUGAGUGACGGUAAUGGGUAAAGAAGCACCGGCUAACUACGUG
rnacentral:rRNA from 1 species